rnacentral:piRNA from 1 species
UAGCUCAGUGCCAAUGGGAAUUGCAUGAGU